AAUCGGGGCACCAAUAAAGUCCAUUAUAUGGAGAAAAAUCAAACGAGGGUGAGUAAAUUAUUUGUGAAGUGUUGUUCUGGAAGUGGACUUCUCCUUUAAAUCACUGUAAUGCACGGCCUCUGGUAGCUUAUUGCUUUAGUAAUACACUCAUCUGUCCUGACAGACGCAAACCUUCAGUGUCGAUGGUGGGUGUUUUUCUUUAAAGCUAAAUUUCACCCUUAAAACAGACCGGCCAAACACGCUCCCAAUCCCAUAAGCCUGUUAAUUCUUGUCUGUGGUACAUUAUCUCGGGCAGACAGAGUCUUGCUCACACAUCAUGUCUCAGUGAGCGUGACUGUGGAAAGAACGCGGUCCGAUUUCAUCAGAGUCGCCCUCUCGCCGGAUCCACAUAAACUCAGACGCGUGGAUUAAUUAUAAUAUUAAUCACGACGCAUCCUACAUAACUGAUUUCAUAUACAUAAUAAUAUUUAGAUAUUUAGAAAAGAAAUGAUAUUUGACGCAAGUGUCUAGUGACCCAUCCUCGACCUCUGACCUACUACUUGCGCAACAGACAGGAAAUCAGGAGUGACUCGACCCAGCCAGAGUCCACGGCGCACGCAUAGCCGACAUACUUAUACUCGUUGCACAAGCACAUAACGGGGGAAAAGUGCAUGGAGGAGGAGGACGAAUAAGAAAAACAGAUCAAAGAGAAGCUGAAAGAGAAAAAACUCAGCUGAGGUGCAGACGGCGGGAUGAACCGUGGAUGAACUUUACACAGCGUGUGAAUUAAAGAUCAAGAGAGCUUCAGAAGAUUUGAGAGCGCGGUGAGGAGGGGAGAGACUCAUGUCACUGGAGGAAUCUGUGCUGCUUUAAGACCACAGCUUUAUUCUGACGGGAUGAAACCGUCUUAGAAGCAGCGAGAGGGUAAAAAUCACGACCUCUGGAGAGCAGGAGAGGAACGGCUUGAUAGCGAUGUCCGAGUCGUGAACCUUCAGGUCGUGAUCGCCGAGUCCACGAGUGAUGCCGAUGGUGGCCAAAACACGGGCCUGAGCGACAAAACACACCACAAAUGCCACUGGCUCUAGUUGAAAAUGGCCCCUUGCUGGUUAAUAAUACACAUGCCCUCAACCAGCUGCUUUCUCAG